CAAUAAGCGGAGGAAAAGAAACCAACAGGGAUUGCCCCAGUAACGGCGAGUGAAGCGGCAACAGCUCGAAUUUGAAAUCUGGCCCUUCCGGGUCCGAAUUGUAAUCUGUAGAGGACGCUUUUGGCGCGGUGCCUUCCGAGUUCCCUGGAACGGGACGCCACAGAGGGUGAGAGCCCCGUAUGGUCGGACACCAAGCCUCUAUAAAGCUCCUUCGACGAGUCGAGUAGCUUGGGAAUGCUGCUCUAAAUGGGAGGUAAACUUCUUCUAAAGCUAAAUACCGGCUAGAGACCGAUAGCGCACAAGUAGAGUGAUCGAAAGAUGAAAAGCACUUUGAAAAGAGGGUUAAACAGUACGUGAAAUUGUUGAAAGGGAAGCGCUUGUGACCAGACUUGCGCCGGGCUGAUCAUCCAGCGGUUUCCGCUGGUGCACUCGGCCCGGCUCAGGCCAGCGUCGGUUGUCGUGGGGGGACAAAAGCUCUGGGAAUGUGGCUCCCUCCGGGGAGUGUUAUAGCCCUAUGCAGAAUAUCCCCGCGGCGACCGAGG
rnacentral:rRNA from 1 species